GGUUCAGUAGCGGGUGGUCCGCGCCCACAGAUAUUAGGUCGCAUCCGAACCCGUGUUCAGUGGGAGGUCGCUUGUUCGAAUCAAGCUUGAACCA